CAGCAGCCACGGUAAUACAGAGGGUGCGAGCGUUAAUCGGAUUUACUGGGCGUAAAGCGUGCGUAGGCGGCUAAUUGAGUCGGAUGUGAAAUCCCCGAGCUUAACUUGGGAAUUGCAUUCGAUACUGGUUAGCUAGAGUGUGGGAGAGGAUGGUAGAAUUCCAGGUGUAGCGGUGAAAUGCGUAGAGAUCUGGAGGAAUACCGAUGGCGAAGGCAGCCAUCUGGCCUAACACUGACGCUGAGGUACGAAAGCAUGGGGAGCAAACAGGAUUAGAUACCCGCGUAGUCCCUGUCUCUUAUAA
rnacentral:rRNA from 1 species